UACAGAGGGUGCGAGCGUUUAAUCGGAGUUACUGGGCGUAAAGGGCACGUAGGCGGUUAUGUAAGUCAGUUGUGAAAUCCCCGGGCUUAACCUGGGAACUGCAAUUGAAACUGUGUGACUAGAGUCGAAGAGAGGGAAGCGGAAUUUCCGGUGUAGCGGUGAAAUGCGUAGAUAUCGGAAGGAACACCCGUGGCGAAGGCGGCUUCCUGGCUUCAGACUGACGCUGAGGUGCGAAAGCGUGGGUAGCGAACAGG
rnacentral:rRNA from 1 species